UACGGAAGGCAGCAGUGGGGAAUAUUGCACAAUGGGCGCAAGCCUGAUGCAGCCAUGCCGCGUGUAUGAAGAAGGCCUUCGGGUUGUAAAGUACUUUCAGUCGUGAGGAAGGUGUUAAGGUUAAUAACCUUAGCAAUUGACGUUAGCGACAGAAGAAGCACCGGCUAACUCCGUGCCAGCAGCCGCGGUAAUACGGAGGGUGCGAGCGUUAAUCGGAAUUACUGGGCGUAAAGGGCACGCAGGCGGUUAAUUAAGUUGGAUGUGAAAUCCCCGGGCUUAACCUGGGAAUGGCAUUCAAGACUGGUUAGCUAGAGUCUUGUAGGAGGGGGUAGAAUUCCAUGUGUAGCGGUGAAAUGCGUAGAGAUGUGGAGGAAUACCGGUGGCGAAGGCGGCCCCUGGACAAAGACUGACGCUCAUGUGCGAAAGCGUGGGGAGCAAACGAGGGAUUAGAUACC
rnacentral:rRNA from 1 species